CAAUAGCGUAUAUUAAAGUUGUUGCGGUUAAAAAGCUCGUAGUUGGAUUUCUGCUGAGGACGAUCGGUCCGCCCACUGGGUGAGUAUCUGGCUCGGCCUUGGCAUCUUCUUGGAGAACGUUGCUGCACUUGACUGUGUGGUGCGGUAUCCAGGACUUUUACUUUGAGGAAAUUAGAGUGUUUCAAGCAGGCGCACGCCUUGAAUACAUUAGCAUGGAAUAAUAAGAUAGGACCUUGGUUCUAUUUUGUUGGUUUCUAGAGCUGAGGUAAUGAUUAAUAGGGAUAGUUGGGGGCAUUCGUAUUAACGCGUCAGAGGUGGAAUUCUUGGAUUGCGUUACGACGAACUACUGCGAAAGCAUUUGCCAAGGAUGUUUUCAUUGA
rnacentral:rRNA from 1 species